rnacentral:rRNA from 1 species
UAAGGAAUAUUGGUCAAUGGAGGGAACUCUGAACCAGCCAUGCCGCGUGCAGGAAGACGGCCUUCUGGGUUGUAAACUGCUUUUAUUCGGGAAUAAACCUAUUUACGUGUAAAUAGCUGAAUGUACCGAAGGAAUAAGGAUCGGCUAACUCCGUGCCAGCAGCCGCGGUAAUACGGAGGAUCCAAGCGUUAUCCGGCUUUAUUGGGUUGAAAGGGUGCGUAGGCGGCUUAUUAAGUCAGGGGUGAAAGACGGUGGCUCAACCAUCGCAGUGCCCUUGUUACUGAUGAGCUUGAAUGAACUAGAGGUAGGCGGAAUGUGACAAGUAGCGGUGAAAUGCAUAGAUAUGUCGCAGAACACCGAUUGCGAAGGCAGCUUACUAUGGUUUAAUUGACGCUGAGGCACAAAAGCGUGGGGGUCAAACA